GACGAACGCUGGCGGCGUGCUUAACACAUGCAAGUCGAACGAGUGGCGAACGGGUGAGUAAUGUAUGGGGAUCUGCCCGCUAGAGGGGGAUAACUACUGGAAACGGUGGCUAAUACCGCAUACUAUCGGAUGAACCCAUAUGGGAGUAGCUAGUAGGUGGGGUAAAGGCUCACCUAGGCGACGAUCUCUAGCUGGUCUGAGAGGCUGAUCAGCCACACUGGGACUGAGACACGGCCCAGACUCCUACGGGAGGCAGCAGUGGGGAAUAUUGCACAAUGGGCGAAAGCCUGAUGCAGCGACGCCGCGUGGGGGAUGAAGGCUUUCGGGUUGUAAACCUCUUUCGCUAUCGAACGGGUAGGUGGAGAAGAAGCGCCGGCUAACUACGUGCCAGCAGCCGCGGUAAUUC
rnacentral:rRNA from 1 species